GAUGAACGCUGGCGGCGUGCCUAAUACAUGCAAGUCGAGCGAACAGACGAGGAGCUUGCUCCUCUGACGUUAGCGGCGGACGGGUGAGUAACACGUGGAUAACCUACCUAUAAGACUGGGAUAACUUCGGGAAACCGGAGCUAAUACCGGAUAAUAUAUUGAACCGCAUGGUUCAAUAGUGAAAGACGGUUUUGCUGUCACUUAUAGAUGGAUCCGCGCCGCAUUAGCUAGUUGGUAAGGUAACGGCUUACCAAGGCAACGAUGCGUAGCCGACCUGAGAGGGUGAUCGGCCACACUGGAACUGAGACACGGUCCAGACUCCUACGGGAGGCAGCAGUAGGGAAUCUUCCGCAAUGGGCGAAAGCUUGACGGAGCAACGCCGCGUGAGUGAUGAAGGUCUUCGGAUCGUAAAACUCUGUUAUUAGGGAAGAACAAAUGUGAAAGUAACUAUGCACGUCUUGACGGUACCUAAUCAGAAAGCCACGGCUAACUACGUG
rnacentral:rRNA from 1 species